AGAGUUUGAUCCUGGCUCAGGACGAACGCUGGUGCUUAACACAUGCAAGUCGAGCGAUGAAGCACCUUCGGGUGUGAAUUAGCGGCGAACGGGUGAGGAACACGUGAAGAAUCUGCCUUCAACUCUGGGAUAACUCCGGGAAACCGGGGCUAAUACCGGAUAUGAGCCUUGAUCGCAUGAUCGGGGCUGAAAGUUUUUCGGUUGAAGAUGACUUCGCGGCCUAUCAGCUUGUUGGUGAGGUAAUGGCUCACCAAGGCGACGACGGGUAGCCGGCCUGAGAGGGCGACCGGCCACACUGGGACUGCUCACCAAGGCGACGACGGGUAGCCGGCCUGAGAGGGCGACCGGCCACACUGGGACUGCUCACCAAGGCGACGACGGGUAGCCGGCCUGAGAGGGCGACCGGCCACACUGGGACUGAACACGGCCCAGACUCCUACGGGAGGCAGCAGUGGGGAAUAUUGGGCAAUGGAGGAAACUCUGACCCAGCGACGCCGCGUGAGGGAUGAAGGCCUUCGGGUUGUAAACCUCUUUCAGUAGGGAAGAAGCGAAAGUGACGGUACCUACAGAAGAAGCACCGGCUAACUAUGUGCCAGCAGCCGCGGUAAUACAUAGGGUGCAAGCGUUGUCCGGAAUUAUUGGGCGUAAAGAGCUCGUAGGUGGUUCGAUACGUCGGAUGUGAAAAUCAGGGGCUCAACCCCUGACCUGCAUCCGAUACGGUCGAGCUAGAGUUUGGUAGGGGAGACUGGAAUUCCUGGUGUAGCGGUGGAAUGCGCAGAUAUCAGGAGGAACACCGAUGGCGAAAGGCAGGUCUCUGGGCCAAUACUGACACUGAGGAGCGAAAGCGUGGGGAGCGAACAGGAUUAGAUACCCUGGUAGUCCACGCCGUAAACGGUGGGCGCUAGUUGUGCGAACCUUCCACGGGUUGUGCGACGCAGCUAACGCAUUAAGCGCCCCCGCCUGGGGGAGUACGAUCGCAAGAUUAAACUCAAAGGAAUUGACGGGGCCCCGCACAAGCAGCGGAGCAUGCGCCUAAUUCGACGCAACGCGAAGAA
rnacentral:rRNA from 1 species